AUACAUUUCAUGAAUGUUGCUCCUGAUUUUUAUUUACAUAAUUCUGAGUCAAAUUCUUUGAGUCCCUUUGUUGUUGUCCCCUCAGAACAGGCACAAAAAUGCUGAAAACUCAUAUUCCAGUUGGUCAGGAUGUCUGGAUAAUUGACUGCACAGCUGCUGGUGCAACAGCAGAGAACACUGGAAAGAGUGCACAUGGAUUGAGCUGUCCUAAAAGGUGUCAUAUCAACAUCACUGGAAAUCCACAGCACAAAUAAAGCAUGGACAGCAAUACUGCAGACUUCGAGUUUUUUUUAAGCUGUCCCAUCAAUGUGACUCAACCCUGGAUGACAGGGACCACCUCUGAAGAGUCUAGGUCUCUAAGAACUUAAUCUCCAGUGCAACCCACCGGCUAGUAUAUUUGAUAUGAAGGCAAAUCCAGAUCCCAGCCCAGUGCUAGGUGAGUCCUUGCUCUACUAUCCACUAUAAUGUGAUGUUGCCUUCUUAAUAACAAAGUUCCAUAUGUACAU